CUUUUCCUUCUCACAAAUGACGAAACCCUUUUCCCUAAAUCACUUUUUCUUCAAAAUCACUUUUCCUUCACAAAUGGAAAAUCUCCAUCAAAAUCACUUUUCUCCAUCGAAACCGUUAUUUCUCUGAUCAAAUCACUACUUCUCCGUCAUCGAAACCGCGACUUCCCCUUCAUCAAUCGAAAUCACCGCCUCUUGUCGCAAACGUGAGGAUAAGUCUCCCAUCGGAAUCUCUGCUUCUCCAUCAUAUCGCUGCUGCAACUUUCUCUUCGGAGAUCGCUUCUUCAACUGAGAGUUUUGUGUCUUACAUCCGAAGGUACCUUGGACACAAGUGAGCAAGUCAAGGCCACCGUUGUUAAUCGUAAAACCCAAAGUCAUUACAUUUUUCCUUAGCCUGGUAAGACCGAUUACAUUGCAUGGUUUCCUUAUUUCUUACAAGUUUUCAAAUGCACAAAUUCAUGUGUUAGUUUCAGGGAGGGAGAUAGAGAUAGCUAAUAGUUAAUUCAUUAACCUGUAACAGUUAGAAAUAUGGACUGAAUUUACUACUCUAUAAUCCUACAUAAUAUCCGUUAGAUCCAUAACAUUCACAGAUCUCCGUACAAUCCACACUCCAUCGAAUUAUAGAUCCAGUGGCAUUUCCGUAAUCUCACACUAACUGCAAAUUUUUCAUCCCCAUUGUAUUUACAUUGUGAUCUCCCACAAUACAAAAACAUUUGUCUCGCCAUUCUCUUCCUCAUUGAGCUCGUCGACGAAGAAUUCGCGUUCUGAUCUCCGACGAUUGAUCACGGCAGAGGCUAGUUCAAUCACCAAUCUUCAAUCAUGGUAACCUUCUUAUUCGAUCUGUUGUUCAUUCUCAAUCGAUUUCGCAUUGUUUACAACCUUAGAUCUGAUCCAAUUCUGCUCGAUUUUCUGAUUUUAAUCGUUUUGGUAUCGGUAACUUCAAAUGCGAGGUUACCGAUUUGUUUAGCUAGCUCUUACGAUUUGAAUUUCUAUGGGAUCUAGUGUUAAACCGUGUAACUGAAUCGUUUUGGUUUUUGUUUGUUGCUUGCAUUGUGUUUGUAGCCUCUCAGACUCUAAAUCAAGCGAAAGCUUGCACAGAGGUCAGAAAGAGUGAAAUGUGUGGAUCUACAUCCAACGGAACCAUGGUAAUGCUUCACCUUUUGCCGCGUCGUUUAGUUUCUGAAAUUAAUUUAUGAUGAUCCUUGACUAACUUUAUAAUUAGGAAUAUCUGCAAUUUUUUUCAUCAUUAGAUAUGUCUCAAGCAUGGGUUCUACUAGGAUGGUUUAUUGAGAUUUAGUCACUAAUAGUUAUUAGUGGUGUUUGUUAUAUGGUCUUGAGAGAAACUUUUAAAAAAGAUAUUGAGAUUAACGAUUUGGAUGGAAGCAUUGUCUUAGAUAGAACAUUAUGGCGAAAGUUGAUCCAUGUAGCCGACUACUUAUUGGGAUUAGGCUUAAUUGUUGUUGUUUGUUAUAUGAUUCUACUAUUGAUGUUUUUUUUUGAAAUUUUAAUUAUUA